AUGGCUGGUUACCGCUGGGUUGUGUCCAAAUCUGGUUUGCGUCCUUGCCUCCAUGUGUCUUUGUCAGCUGAUGAUAUUGGUGGUCCGGCUUUGGCAGGCUGCAUUCCAGUCUGGCUUCCGUGGUUGCUUAACACUUUGAAAGGUGUCAACAAUUCUGAAUUUCAUAUGGAUGCUCGCGGGCUAGAAUUCCUCAACGAAAGUGACCGGGUAAUUGUAUUACCAGUAAGUUUCUUUUUUUUUCUUCCCAUACUGAAAGCAAAAUAAAUCUGAAUGCAAUCAAAAUAGGCUCAAAGUGUUGGUUCUCAUGGCCUCAUGCAGCGGAUUAACCAAAAUUGUCGAGCAUUUAAUUCAUCAUCCAAAAAAGUAUGCCUUCCCUAUGUAGUUACAUGAACUCCUUACAUGACCUUGCACAGGCUGGCGUUAAUCGACGUAUAUGAAACUUUAGUCAAAGGACUCAUCAUUUAAUUAAAAUGGGCAUGUUUAUUUUUUCUAUGUACACAUCAUAACAGAAUUCCAUGAAUCCGCAUUCAUUCUUUGGUCGAUGUUUCAGAUAUUUGCAUCAGAUAGUUCCAAAAUGACUGGCUAUUGCUGUCCAACAAAUAUUUGGAACAGAUUGCAGGUGAUUUUUUUGGGUGAAUUUUAUUACACAAUUUAUGACACAAAUUUUAUGCACUGUAGAUUUACUGUGUAGCAUGGGGUAGCUAUUGCUCUACGUGUUCGUCAACUGGUAAAAUAUAUCACUACAUGCGAAAUUCUGAUUCAUAAAUUCAUGUUGUUUGCUUGGUCCUCAUUGCUGGUUUCUCCUAAGUUUUGAAGCUAACAUUUCAAAAAGAAGAAAAAACCGCACACGUAGGCAAACAUACUCAUUGUCUAGGUGAUUAAUUGUAUAUAGGGUGAUAUGUUACCCCUCACACACUUUGCAUGGUCAUAUUUAUGGAAGGAGAUGGUGAAAUUUUCCUUCUGUUAUUUUCAGAAAUAAGUUUGAAACUGAAGCGGAAAACUAAUUUGUUCCAUCAAGAGAGCAUCACAGGAUUCGUCUGCCCUUUCUCAUGUUGUUCUGCAGGCGGUAUCAAAUGUUACUUGGAGCAAAAUAGCAUUGCCUGAAGAUAAGUGAUUAGCAUGGAUAUUUGUAAAUGACCAGCAUUGUUCAAGAUUCCAGCAGUUUUCUAAAAGAGCAUACUUUGGGAUAUGGAACCUGCAAGAUCAGUUGAUUUGGCUGACCAUGAGAAAGAAGCCAGCCAGAUAUUUAUAUGCUAAUUAUAAAGCCUGUCGUUUUUGUUGCUAAUCUUGCUGAACCUGAUAAAAGUCCCAAUUAUUCCAUGCUUAGCCUCAUAAUGGUUUUUGACAAGCUUUAUUUUUGUUGUACAAUGGCAAUUAACCAACAUACAUUCAUGUGCGGCCACUAUACUCUAGAAAUGGAAAUUAAUGGUGAACAAAAUAAUGAUUUAUUAUAUACAAUUGCACUUUGUUUGUUUAUUGUUACUUCUUACACUGGGUGGAGUUUGCUUGCUGUAAUGUAGAAUUAUUUUCAAAUUUACUCAUUCUUAUAUAUGGUAAAUUGUUAUUAUGUUUACUGUUACGUCCACUAUUAUUCACUUGUUGUAGGAUACCUUAUUUAGCCUUCUAUGUGAUUUCAUGCUUGGAUAGCUUUAGACUGGUUUAUGACAAGGUUUCUUUUGAUGUACAGUGGUAAUUAACUAGGUUUGAUUCAUUUGAGGCCACUGUACUCUAAAAAUGGAAAUAGUGAUUAAAAUUACAACUUAUUAUAUCCAAGUGCACUUUGUUUUCUUAUUAUUUUUUAUUUUAUCUCCUUUUUCUACCACUGGAGCUUGCUACCUCUCAUGUAUUUGGAAAAGUUGAUCAUUCUUAUGUUUGGUAAAUGAGAUAUUCUACUACCACUCAGAAUAUGGGACUCUGAAUGAGUCAACUGCAUCUUAAAUCAACUUAUAUAAUGUAAGCUAGAGCACCUGAAGGGAUGUGUUAUACAUCAACUUAUUAUAAUGUAACCCAGAGAACCUGAGGGGAUCGGUUACUUCAACAUAUAUUAGGCAUUAUCUAUUUCUAUAGUUGACAAAUUGGUACCCUUGCAUUUCGUUUGUAUUUGAACAUGGUGCCCUUUUGUCCAGGUUUUUUAUAUUCCGUGAUUUUUUACAACUGUGAGAUUAUUUUAAAUGAUUUAAAGAUAACAUUGUUGAUGACCAAUACAUUGUGAUUUUACAGUAUGGUGUACUUGCUAUAUAUUUCCUUUUUGCAAAACAAUAUUUCGUUUAUUUAUGUUUCACCCAAUGUGUUCUAAAAAUAUUUACGCUUACCGUGUUCUGGUGUAGAUGAUCUGGUGUCCAUCGGAGUAUACGGAAAUAUGAUAAGAAAAUAAAUAUUUCAGAGAUGGCCCAUUCACAAAUCUCUCGGAUAGGAGAGCCACGUAAGCUAUUUUUUUCUUGAAAUCCUUCACCAAGGUUAUUGCCGCCAAGACACAUACCUCUUGUGGCAUAUGUAUGGAUGAUUAGGCCAAUAAAUUCAUUUUUAUAUUGGUUCAUAAUAAUUUUGGGGAAAAGAGAUUUGUUCUGAUGCUUUCAAGAUGUGCUAGGAUCUUCCCCAGCAUACUCUGUUAGUUAGCCUAAAUUCCAGGCAACCCUCCUGCUAACAUAUGGGUUGGACUUAAACAUCCAAAAGGCUCUUCUUAUGGUGGACGAUAUAUGUGUUUCUUUACUUGUGAGUACAGUAGAGGGCUACAAGUGUUCUCUUAGAUUAAUAACAUACAUUUACUAUAUGUGGGUUCUUUUUCAAAUUGUCGCUCUUUUGUUUGUCACCUCAAUUUGAAAUAGCUAAGCAAGUAAAAAUUGUGGAUUGAGUGCAAAGAUUUUCGCCAUUCACGGUCCUUAAAAAGGUUUCUGUAGUAUAUUUAACUGUCACUGGACUUUUGUAGUCAAAUACUUUUAUUAGUGGAAAAUAUAACGAAUGGCAAUUUAGAACUGCAGAUCCAAUGCAAGGAGCUUUUGUUGUUCUGGUUCGCGAUCUUGAACCUAUCGAGACACUGACUGAUGAUACACUUACGUCAUAUAGAUGAACUCCACAUGAACUGCUUUGGAUGGAGUGAACCUGAAGAUUUAGAAGAUCAGCUUUUCAUCUAUUACAAUGGCAUUAUGUUUUCUUUAAGUAUUCAUAAUUUUGUGCUGAACCAUGUCUGAGGAUUACAGACAUGUACCAUAGAUGUCAAGAAUACAAGAUUAAUAGUCAAUAAGAUGUUUUCAAUUGCAUAGAAAUAGAGCUAGGAAAAUGAGAACUAUGUUAGCAAGUUAUAUGGUGCUGUACCAUUCAAGUGAACCAAGUACUACAA